rnacentral:tRNA from 1 species
GCCCCCGUGGCCUAAUGGAUAAGGCAUCGGUCUCCUAAACCGGGGAUUGUGGGUUCGAGUCCCACCGGGGGUG